UGCGUAGGGGGCAAGCGUUGUCCGGAAUCAUUGGGCGUAAAGCGCGUGUAGGCGGCUCGAUAAGUCUGCUGUGAAAGUCCAGGGCUCAACCCUGGGAUGCCGGUGGAUACUGUCGGGCUCGAGUCCGGAAGAGGCGAGUGGAAUUCCUGGUGUAGCGGUGAAAUGCGCAGAUAUCAGGAGGAACACCAAUGGCGAAGGCAGCUCGCUGGGACGUGACUGACGCUGAGACGCGAAAGCGUGGGGAGCAAACAGG
rnacentral:rRNA from 1 species